CACCACAUCAAAAUAAAAUAAAAAUAAUAAACCCCAAUGAGUAGUGCACAACCCCCAUGUCCAAGUUAUUUCAAGCUUGGUUAAACCCCGUUGACGUGCGUUGGAGCUCAAAAGAAUGAGGACACACAUAAAGUCACCCCACCGUUGUGGUUACUCACUACUCGUAGAUAUUCCCUCGGUGAAGUAUAUCAGUUCUGGGAAGGUUUCCUCACAAGAUCCACAGCAAGUACCGCUAUCAAUGCAGACAGUACUCCUCAGCAAUAACCGAUAUCCCAUGGGAACAUGAACUAGUUAAUCUUCCCCAAGCAAUUCUCUCUCGGGGGUCGCACGAUGCUAGGCUAUCCUCAAGGCUGUCAAAUACCUCCACGAUGAGACGGCCACAGCUUAACAAGCUACCUUAUUGGUCAAAACUUAAACUUAAUACUUGGUUCUAACAAGAAUAAACUCAAUACUUGGUUCUAACAAAGGAGAGGAAACUUCAAGCUUUGACAUUGAGGGCCAAAACCACAGAGUUCAGAGAGGAACAACAGCAAGCCCUGCUGGAUGAACUGAGAAGACAAAUUGAAGGAAAUCCCGCACAGAACGAGCAUUACAGCUGGUGGCAUUGUCAUGCUGGAGGGUCAUGUCAGGAUGAGCCUCCAGGAACGGUACCACAUGAGGGAGGAGGAUGUCUUCCCUGUAACCCACAGCAUUGAGAUUUCCUGCAAUGACAAAAAGCUCAGUCCGAUGAUGCUGUGACACACCACCCCAGACCAUGACGGACCCUCCACCUCUAAAUCGAUCCCGCUCCAGAGUACAGGCCUCUGUGUAGCGCUCAUUCCUUCGACGAUAAACGCGAAUCCGACCAUCUGUACCGCAGGUGUGAUAUUCAGAUGUACCAAUCCUGAGCAGGUGUUACACGUGGUCUGCCACUGCGAGGAUGAUCAGCUGUCCGUCCUGUCUCCCUGUAGCGCUGUCUUUGGCGUAUCACAGUACAGACAUUGCAAUUUAUUGCCUUGGCCACAUCUGCAGUCCUCAUGCCUCCUUGCAGCAUGCCCAAGGCACAUUCACGCAGAUGAGCAGGGACCUUUUCUUUUGGUGUUUUUCAGAGUCAGUAGAAAGGCCUCUUUAGUGUCCUAAGUUUUCGUAACUGUGACCUUAAUUGCCUACCGUCUGUAAGCUGUUAGUGUCUGAACGACCGUUCCACAGGUACAUGUUCAUUAAUUGUUUAUGAUUAAUUGAACAAGCAUGGGAAACAGUGUUUAAACCCUUUACAAUGAAGAUCUGUGAAGUGAUUUGGAUUUUUACAAAUUAUCAUCGAAAGACAUAGUCCUGAAAAGGGACGUAUCUUUUUAGCUGAGUUUAUGUACAGUAUAUCUCCAAUGUCAAAUAUUUAAUCUACAGUACUAUGUUAAUCAUAAAUAAAGAGUAGUGUCAUGUUUAAUACUUAUCUUGUAAUUCUAGACAUUGUGCCCUUUAGAAAAUGUAUUGUUUAGGAAUGCAGUCUACAUACCUUAUGCGUUAUAUUGUUCAUGAAACGCAGGACUUCUCUUUCUGAAUGUGUGUAAGCUUAACUUAGCUUGCCUGUCUUCCAGUAAAUAUGAUCUCCACUCGUAUGAGCCAGAGUGCCACACACAAGGGCACCUACUUCCUUUGUGGUAUGGACUUGAUACCUAGCUCUUUAAUGUCUGGGGCUAGUCCAAGAUGUACUCUUAAGUAAGAAGUUAGGCUGGUCCGAAUCUGUCACGUUCUGACCAUUGUUCGUGUGUGUUUUCCUUGUUUUAGUGUUGGUCAGGACGUGAGCUGGGUGGGCAUUCUAUGUUGUGUGUCUGGUGUGUCUAUUUCUAUGUUUGGCCUGAUAUGGUUCUCAAUCAGAGGCAGGUGUUAGUCAUUGUCUCUGAUUGGGAACCAUAUUUAGGUAGCCUGUUUUGUGUUGGGUUUUGUGGGUGAUUGUUCCGGUCUCUGUGUUUGUUGCACCAGAUAGGGCUGUUUCAGUUUUUUCACAUUUCUUGUUUUGUAGAUUGUUC
ensembl:lncRNA